ensembl:lncRNA
GCUCUGUACCCCAUAGCCCUUCAAAAACACUCAGCGUGGCCUUCUUUCAUUUACUCUUUGGGAAUACCUUGGUGCCCACUAUUAAGGGGCUACCUUCACUGUGAUGAACCUCUCAUUUACAGAGUGUUUAUUGAGCCAGUUUCCUGGACCAGGAACUCUAGCAGGUGAGGGGAGACUGUGGAGGUGCCCAAGGCAUAGACCCUUUAAAGUGCUAAUAGUGUAAGGAGGGGGGCUAAGACCCAUCUACAUGUAACUCUAACUUAACAUAAAAAUCAAGUGUAGCAGAGGAGGAACAAAUUGCUGUUGGAGAUAAAAGGAGUGAGGGAUUACUUCUAGUUGGGGGCAUUUGAGAAACGCUUCACUCAUUUCUUCUUCAUUCAACAAGCACAUGAGCAAGAGACCAAACUUUCCUGUGGAUACAGAGGUAAAUAAGACACCCUCUGCCCAUAGGAGUUUAACUUUUAAGGAGAGGCAGGUCUCCAGAUUACAACCAACCAGGAAUAAGGCUAAGUGUUACAGAGAACUGAGGUGAGAACAAAGUGCUGUGGGGAAGCCAAGAGAGGAGUCGUGGUUGAAGCAGAGCUUGAAGAGAGUUUACGUUAGUGAGUUAAUAGUCGAAUGACUAUGACUGCCAUACACAUAAGUAAUCCCAAGUACCAGAUAAAAGGUGCCAAGUGCCCUAAGAGAAAUUCAGAAAAGGAUUAUGAAGGAGAGUUUGGGGUGAAUGUGUUUAUUUCCAGCUGGGUCGCUGGUAAAGAUUUACUAAAGAGGUCAAAUUGGAGCUGGCCCUUAUAGGAUGAACAGGAAUUCAACAGGGGAAGGGGUUCACGUAUGUGUGUGGAGUGAUAAAGCAGAAGGAACAAUGCAAAUGGAGGCCUGUUAGUGGUGAGUGCUCUCAAGUAGUUAGCAUGGACUCUGCCUGGCCAUGAUACAGCCGGAGAAAAUGUAAGAUGAAGCCAAGUCACAGAAAGUACUGAAUGCCAAAGUGGGCCAUUGGACUUUCCUGAGUAGGCAGAGCAAAUGGUGAGUCUUUUCUUCUGUCUAUGCUUUGGGAUUGAGGCAACAGCAAUUAAAAGGAAGGGCUCUAGGCUGGGGAUUUAGCUCAAUGGCUCUGCCGCCUGCCUCGCAAGUGCGAGGACCCAAGUUCGAUCCCCGGUACCAAACAAAAAGCAAGGGCUCUGAAAUGAGACUACCUGGGUUCAAAUGUUACUCCACCACACCUCAGCUGUGUGAACUUGUGAAAGUCUCUUAGCUUCUGGGUCAAAUAGGGCAGAUAAUGAUGCUGCAAGGAUGAGUUUAGUUCCCAUGCUGGAAGUGCCUACAACAAUGCUUAAAAAGAAGGAAUGCUCUCUACACGUCCAUUGUUGUUAUUAGUAAUAGUAAUAGCAGCAGUGAUACUCUUGACAUAAAUGGUAGCAGCCUUAAGAAAUUUUGUACUCUGAACUUCUAGCGACAAACUUGGGAUGGCUGUACAUGCCUGAGAAAACAAGGAAUGAACCUCAGGUACUCUUAAAAUAGCCAGGAUUAUUCUCUCUGUACAAUUGUUGUGCUACACCUGAGUUGAUCCACACAAUAGCCACGUGAAUAGCCAAGCCUCAGCAGCAAACAAUGGCUCAUCCAGAAUGUUGAUAGCCAGGACAAUGGGGACAACUGAUAAAAUGGGCCCAGGGUCCUGUCCAAGAUAGCGUAUCUCAGAGACUUUCUCCAUCCAUGAUACAAGGUGCAUCAUUAGAGUUUACAAACAGUACAGUUCACUGGUAUUGAAGCCUAAGGUUGUGCAAAAAGUCUAAAAAUGAUCAAAGUAUUUCAUUCCCAUGCCCUAGUUGCCUUAGCUUUCACACCUCUACCUCAAAUCGAAAUUUUAAUAUCAGAGUGUGGCUAACCGCAAGUAACACUAAUGUGUUUGCUCAGGGACCUUGUUCACAAGAAACAGCACCAGUCUGGGAGCCAUGGUUUGCAAAGGUCUCUAAAUUACCCCUCAUCCACCCAGUGCAUUUUUGGACACACGCAAGUACAAGUACAUUCAGCAGAUGGCCUGUGAUGUGGUACAUUCUUUUUGCGUGCCGACCUGUGGGGUCAUCAGAUGGAUGUCGUUGUAAACAAGACUCUUGGAGUUGCCCUUACAGUUUGUUUAAUCUGGUUCUUGGUCUUCACUAAGCACACAGGCUGCUGUCACAAGACAGAGGCACCUUAGUAAGUACUGAGAGAGCUUGCAAAUUUCCCUUUUCAAAUGAGCUUUAGCAUAGACUGCUCAGAGGUCCCUUUGCAGAUUCAACACAAGCCCCUGGAAGUUUCUGAGACACCAAGCAAUUAAAAUCCAUCUUUAUUUUUUGAGACCUCUGUGCCUAAUACUCUCAAAGCUCCAUAUAAGCAUUUUUGUAGGCCUAAAAGUAGGGAAUUAUACUGCAUUGGAAAAAUUGUUAUUAUAGGUCUCAAUCAAAAAAGGAUUUAAAGAUAACCGGUGGCAGAUGUUCUGCCAAUAGUCACACAUCCCUCUGAGGUCUGAGCCUUAAGUUCCUUCUCCCUAUUUUAUGCAUCUUCUGUCAGAAAAUGGAUGUAAACUAACACCAUUUAGAUAAACAGUAAUUAAAUCUUUACCUAGGAAAAAGUUAUGUUUGCCUCCUUAUUAUUUCUUUGUUGAGAGGAUAUAUUCUGAAUGAUUUAUGUUUGUUUAAAAUAGACUUUCUGGAGGUGGGAAAGGGAGCAGGAGGAGGGGAAGGUGAGGGAGAAGGGAGUAAAAGGCUCUAAACAGAUCAAGAUGUUAUGUACACAUAGAGAUUCCCCCAAAUGAACAUUACUAUUACAUAUUUCAGACAUACACUAAAAAAGACUAUCCAUUGAAUUUUCUUAGAAUAAAUGUACUUGUGGCAACUAGAGACUUUCAAAAUCAUUCACAGAAUAAAACGAAUAGAUGUGGAAAUGAGCAAACCUACGUUCUGAGGGGAUAUAUAGAGCGAACAAAUCAUAGCGUUUGCUUUAGAGCUCAUCUUUAUGACCUUGAACCAGCCACUAUUCAGACUCAGGUUUUUCAUUUUUAAAAAGAUAUGGGAAGGAUCUGUUACAUUACAGCAUUUUGGUGAGGUUGAAUUAAUCAUAAUACUGUGCUCUGGGAAAUUUAUAAAUUGCAAAGAACUAUUCAAAUGUAAGCCAUUAUUUUCAUCAUUGUCCAAGGUCCUACAGCUUGUAGCUAGGUACUGUUUAUCAGAAUAAAUUAAAUAAUGCACUCCCACCUUACUGCCACUAGAUGGCAGGCGAGCCACUUACUACACUAUUGUCUAGGUUAAGGAUCUAAAAACCUCACACAAUAUUCUGAUUUGGGAGGCAGUGCAACAAGGGACAAAGAACAAGUUAGAAGUCAUACAAAGCAGACACUGCCUGUAUUGUUAAAAGCAAAUCUCAUUCAAUCACCAUAGAUUUGCGAUUUGCCCAAAUUUUUUUAUCUGUGAAAAUAUGGUAUUUCAUUUGACUGUGAGUCAAAAGACAGCAAAGCAAAUAUUUUCUGCAAAUGAGAGGAGAAGGCUAUCCCACUCAGGGGGACAAUUCAGAGACUGCCCAGCACUGUACAGAUAAUCUAUUAUAUUAGGGGUCGAGAAACUGCUUCUGUAAAUGGCCCAUUAGUAAGUAUUUCAGGUUGGAUAGUCUCUGCUAUAACUUUUCAUCUUGGUGGUGGAGCUUCCAGUCUGAGACAAUAUGAGAAGGAAAGGGCAUGGCUAAAUUAUCAUAAGCUUCUAUUUAUGGACACUGAAUUUUGGAAUUCAUAUAACCUUUACUUGUCAUAAAAUAUUCUUUUGGAUUUUUUGAUCACUUAAAAAUGUAAAAAUUAUUUUUAGUCUAAAGAUCAUACAAGAAUGGACAUAGGCUUGAUUUUCCUGGCAGGUAGUAUUUUAUAGAUGCAUGGAUUAAUUUAUAGACUUGAGUCUUAGCUAUUAGAUUGACAGUCUUGCCAAUUAAUGUCUUUCUUUGUCUCUCUCUAUGUAGAUAUGUAAUAUAUAAGUUUUAUAACAAAUAUUUCAAUGUGCUCAAUAUCAUAUAUUUUUACAUAUAUAAAUUACUAAAAAAAAUUCAUGUGGUAGUUUUUGCCUGCCUCUACUAUUGCCUAGUUUGUGAAGAUGAUAGACAAAAAUUUCAAAUAGUUAUUGCAUUUGUUCAUAAUUGCCAGGAAAAACAAUAUCCAGUUAAGUUUGAUUUUCAUUUAAAGGAUGAAAAGUGUUUAGUACACCUGUUUUGCAAAUGUUGCACUGGACAUACAUGUAUAGUACCCUUUAUCUUUAGGAAAUCCAUUUCAAGACCCUUCCCCCGUGGAUAUCUGAAAGCAUUGAUUGUACUGAACUUUAUGUAUACUAUUUUCCCCUACACAUUCCUAAGCACAAAUUGCGUGUCUUUUUCCAUCUUAACUAAGUGUUUCUCAUGCACAUUGUCUGUAACAUUUGGAAUUUGAGAUGCAGCAGCAAAUCUAGCAUCUAUUUUUCCUUCACAAUUUCACAGAUGGAUUUGUUCUUAUUGUAGAUCUUAGCAACCUCAGCAUACAACUUUGUUUUGUUGAAGUCCAGAACUUUUUCCUUUUAAUUUAAAUGAAGCACUUAAUGGCUUUUCUUUGGCACAUUUGAAUGGCCAGCAUCAGUACUCUUACAAAUUGGGGCUGGUAUGUCAUAAAAUAAGGGCUACCAGAACACGAGCCCCACCAAGAUGGCUUCUAAAGGACUUGACAAAGAGAUCAUUCGCUUGUGUCCUAAGUAGGAUGGAGCAGGGUGGCAAGAGAGAUUUCACCAUGCUAUUCAGAAGGAGGCAAAAAUUUAAAUUUAUGAAUGAUUUAUUUCUGGCAUUGUCCACUUAAUAUUUUCAGACCGGGGUUAACUGUGGGUAACUGAAACCAUGGUAGGCGAAACUGUGGACGAGGGAGAGAGAAGUACUGUAUUAAAAAAAAAUAAGCAUUUGCUGUUUAUUCUGGGUCGAGUUUUAACUGGGUGACCUGAAUUUUUAUUUGCUAAAUCUGACAUUUGUUCUUGUGCUUAUAGGCUUUGCCCAGUCCUCAUUUAUUAGAGCCUUGAAAAUAACCAAAGGUCGGAAGAUAGGACUCCUGAAGGAAAAUAUAUCUUUCGGGAGAAAUUCAUUUAUCCUCUCUCCCUCCCUCUCUCCCUCGCUCCCUCCCUCUCCCACCUCCACAGCCCCGUGGCCUGCUAGACAAAUGCUCCACCGCUGACCGCCCCAGCGGUGUUCCCAGGCUGCAGGGGAGAGCAUUCUGGGUUGCCACUGUCAGUUAGAGGAGUCCUUUCAAAUGUUAUGAGAAACCCUAAGUAGCGGUUGGACCUGCAUUUGCUCUUUUGUUGUUGUUGUUACAAAGAAUUUGAGAGAAAUUUGAGGUCUUGUAAGAAGGUUAGGUGAGAACAAAUUCAACUUCUCACGCCCAGGCUGAUGUUCUCUGGGGCUGAGUUUGCAUCUCUAAACCUCUUUCCGCUUCUUAAUGGAGAUUUGAAGUGUGCAUAGGGAAUGACUGGUGGAGCCUGUGUUACAAAGGUUUCUUUGUGUGUGUAAGGUUAGGAGGGUUUACUAGUAAGUGUUAAUUCACAUGGUAACUUUUGGGGAAAGACAUCCAAGGUGAAAUCCUGCUUUAAUCUGAUAUUCCUUCCAGCUCUGAGAUUUGACCCCUUUUCUUCCUAGCGUUCAGUAACUGUUACCGUUAUUGAAUGAGAAACAGACUCCCGGGCGCGCGUGCAUGCGUGUGCGUGUGCGUGUGCGUGUGCGUGUGUGUGUGUGUGUGUGUGUGUCAUCUCUUAUCCCUGUGGCCUGGAGAUGGCCGACCUGGGAGUGCCCCCAGGCUGCCUCCUUGGGGACUUAAUGGGACAAGGAGGCAGUGGUGCGGCGCGGUGAGUGAGGAAGUCUGCUCAGUCUCCCACCCCGCAGGGUCGAGCCCGCCCAGCGAGAGGGAGGCGGGCUCUGGGGCCACCACGGUCCUUAGGGGAAGUUCUUUCUAGAAGCAGCGGCUGCUAAAGGCGGCACUGCAGGGUACUGCGUCAGAGUAGGCGCACUGCGAAGAUGAAAAACAUCAUUCCCGGAGGGAAGCGAUCGUACCUUGGCGGUUAAAGAGGAGAUUGCGGGGAGCCCCGAGCAGCCAGACCCGAUGGUGGUGUUGGUAGUCCUGACCUCAGCCUGGUAGCCUGACCUUGAACCCAGAGUUCCAGGUUCCCUUCACAACUUCAAGUGAUUGUUGGGCAGCAUUUGAGUGUACACAUUCUGCACCCUUGAGGAAUUUGGAACUACGCGCAAGUUCAAGCCCUGUUUAUUUAUCUUGUGAAUUUAUCACUUGCUUAUUCAGUAUUACAUGUUAAUAUUGUAAACUGCACGCUGAUGUGAAACUUGCAUUGUAAAUUUGCAUAAAUUGGGUAAGAAUUGCCUUAAAGCAAAAGAAAAAGAAAGUAGAUGCUAGAGAAAAAAGACGAGUGAAGAGGGUGAGAAAGGUAAUGUUGAUAGCAAAUAAAAUGAGAAGUUUGAAAUGCAUGGUAAUAGUGAAAAAAACCCAAGACCUCUAAAGGACAUUUUUUGGCAUUAAUGAAUGCCCAAUGUGUACAAAAAAGAAAAAUGAGAAGUCAGUUAGGGCCGGUGCACUGAGUGAUACAUCAGAAUUUCUAGGAAAAUUAUACAUAAUUUGAAAUGCUAAAGUAGAGACAAUGGAAAUAGAUUUACAUUUGUGGAAACUUUCCCUAUGUAUUAUCCACCAGUGAGCGUCACAAAAAUGCGAGUUCAACUUUCUAUCUGGAAGAAAACUUAUAACACGCAUGGCUGGCAGAGAAAGCGGAUCAUGAAGCUGCUGUAGAAUGUCCUGAGUAAUAGAGGAGCCCUGUUGAAGAAAUGGUUUUCCUAAACAUGUUUUCAAUGCUCAGGAAAUGUUCUGUCCUGGAAGUGCACACCAACUUGCACAUCCAUUGUGAAGGGUGAGCAAAGGGCCAGAUAUCUGAAGCCUGAAAAGAAAAGCUCAAAGGACUGCUUCAUUCCAUUGUUGCCGGUCACUUCCUUAUUAAUUUCAGGUUGCUCACAAAUUCCGAUGUCCUUACCUCUGAAUGCCAGGAACAUGUUUCCAUCUCCAUGGAUGGAUACCAUAAAAUCUGGACCACUGAGAAAGUAUUUUUCAACUGGAUUUUGAAGCAUUUUAUUCCUAAUGCUAAACAAUAUUUAAACAAAACAAAUUCUUAAAAGUGUUCCUGAAUCGGGACACUACUCCCACUGAUGAAAGUGUGAGAGUAAAUAUGAUCCUUGUGUUCUAGUCAUCUCCUUUCCCCCUAGUACAAGUUCACUCCUUAAAUCCCUGCCUCUGAGAGUGCUAAAAAUGUUCACUGUGUACUACACUCUGAUAGUAGCUUGGCAAAAUUUCUCCAUUUAUAAUGACUUCACAAUAGUUGAAGAAUCCAUGAGAGAAAAGUCAGUCAACCCUAAAUGGAACCUGGCAGAAACUCUGGAAUGAGGUGAUAGCUGAUUUUCAAGGGUUUCCAGUGGCUUCAGUGUCAAGGUCUUCCAGCAACUCACAGUCUUCCAACAAUCUCAAGGUCUUCCAGACAAUCUCGGUCUUCCAGAAAAUCCAUGUCUUCCGGAAAAUUAAUGUCUUCCACAAUCCUGCAUGUCUUCCAGCAAAUCUCGUCUUCCGCAAGCAAAUCCAGAUCUUCCAGGAAAAUCCAGAUCUUCCAGAAAAAUCCAUGUCUUCCAACAAUUUCAACGUCUUCCUAUGAGUCUGUGUCUUCCAGGAAAAUCUGUGUCUUCCACCAAAUCCAAGUCUUCCAAUGAAUUCAGGUCUUCCAGAAAAAUCCAGGUCUUCCAGCAAACUAUGUCUUCCACCAAAUCAAGUCUUCCAGUCAACUCCUGUCUUCCAGACAAAAUCUGUGUCUUCCACUAAAUCCAGCUCUUCCAGUAAAGCCAUGUCUUCCAGAAAAUUCAUGUCUUCCAGUAAUCUCCAGUUCUUCCAGCCAAUGUAUGUCUUCCUGAAGAUUCAAGUCUUCCAGAAAAUCCACGUCUUCCAGAAAAUUCAUGUCUUCCAUAAAACAUCCAGUCUUCCAGCAAACCAAUAUCUUCCAAAAAAUCCAGGUCUUCCAGACAAUUCAGGUCUUCCAGAAAAUCCACGUCUUCCAGAAAAUCCACGUCUUCCAAAAAAGCUAUGUCUUCCAUCAAACCCAUAGCUUCAAAAAAAUCUAUGUCUUCCAGAAAAUCCAAGUCUUCCAACAAAUUCAUGUCUUCCAUCAGUUUUAUGUCUUUCAGCCUUCCUAUGUCUUCCAACAAAGCUACGUCUUCCAGAAAAUCCAUGUCUUCCAACAAAGUCACGUCUUCCAACAAAGCCGUGUCCUCCGGAAAACCUGUCUUCCAGUGAAGCCAUGUCUUCCAUCAACUCCAUGUCUUCCUACAUCUCCAGGGCUUCCAGCAUCUCCAGGGCUUCCAGCAUCUGCUCGUCUUCCACCAUCUCCACAUCUUCCAGCAUCUUCAGGUCUUCCUACAGCUACCCAGUCUUCCAUCAGCAGGUUUAAUAUCCACGUCUUCCAACAUCUCCGCUGCACCAGCCUUCUAAUAUCCAGGUCUUCCACUGUCUGCAAUAUCCAGGUAUUCUAACUUAUUCUAUAGUCCAGGUCUUAAACCCUUUCCCCAGAUCAAGGCUUUUCCAAAUCUAGUCCUCCUCUGUCCAAGCUUUCCCAUGUUCAAAACUUUCCACAGGGAGAUUGCCAACUCAGGUAUUCCUGCUUCUAGUAUAAUUAGCUUUAAAAAUUCAAUAGGAUAUUCCUACUUACAGGCCAGAUUUUAUGGGCAAGCUGUAAUUUAACUGUGGUUUUGAUAUUAGAAAAUGUGUGUUUAUUCUUUGCAACUUUUUAAAAUAGUGUUCAUAGGAAGUUUUACAGAAUAAACAGGUUACUGGAG